rnacentral:rRNA from 1 species
UACGUAGGGUGCAAGCGUUAUCCGGAAUUAUUGGGCGUAAAGAGCUCGUAGGCGGUCUGUCGCGUCUGCUGUGAAAACUGGGGGCUCAACCCCCAGCCUGCAGUGGGUACGGGCAGACUAGAGUGCGGUAGGGGAGAUUGGAAUUCCUGGUGUAGCGGUGGAAUGCGCAGAUAUCAGGAGGAACACCGAUGGCGAAGGCAGAUCUCUGGGCCGUAACUGACGCUGAGGAGCGAAAGCGUGGGGAGCGAACAGG